ensembl:lncRNA
GUACCGACUUCCAAGUCAGGUUUUUACCAGCUUUCCUGGUGAGACACACUGUCUAAAAGAGUCCAUAUUAUCACCAGGAAAAGUAUAUUCAUUGAGGUAUAAUUUGCAAAGAAAAUAACCUCAUCUCAAGGGUACCUUUUGGGACUACCCUGGGUGGUCCAGUGGUUAAGAAUCCACUGCAGGGAGCAUGGGCUUGAUCCCUGGUCAAGGAACUAAGAUCCUGCAGGUCUUAUGAUGUGGCCAAAAAUAAAAAAUAAAGAGGGUACCUUCUGAAGACUGUAGGCACCCAAACCACUGCCAGUCAAGACAUGGAGUAGUUCCAACACUCCAGGAAGUUCCCUCAUGUCCGUUUGUGGUCAGCGCUCUCUUUCCUGACCUCCAGCCCCAGGCAAACUGAAGUUUAGCUUGUUCUGGGAUUUCACAUAACAGAACUGUACAUUAUGUACUCUGUGUGUGUGCUUCUUUAGCAACAGCACAAGGUUUUAAAGACAUGUUCAGGUUGCCACCUUUACUGAUAGGAGUUCCUUUCUUUGUAGGGAUAAGUCAGAAUCUGUUUAUCAUCUCUCUAGUUGUCUGUCUCCAGUUUACAGCCAUUAUGAAUACAACUAUACAUUUAAAUAUUAAGUCUGUGUGUGGAAGGAGGCUGGCAAUUUUCUUGAAUAUCUAGGAGUAGGGUUACUGGGUUCUAUGGUACAGGUGUGUGUUCAGGCAAAGGAAUCAUCGGGGAUACUGGGCUUCUCCCUAUAAGCUCCAACCUCCUACCGCCACCAUGGAGCAGCCAUGUGGUCUGGCAGUGACGCCAGUUUGCAGGUGGAGGUGAGCGGCGAUAACCUGGGAGGCACCUGAUACAUCUAAGCCUAAAGUACGCCGUGUGGUCCCAGCCCUCUGGCCAGUGUUUGGUUCAGGAGUCCAGACCAAAGUCAAUUAGGGGUGUCAUUAACUCUAUCCACUUUGCUUGGUUUCCAAAUGGGAACUUGACUCAAUUGGGCCAUAGACCUAAGCAAAGAUGGCCUUGCUCUUUACAGACACAGGAGCAAUGGUUUUGAAACGGUAGGUUAUGAUUGAUCAAAUCCAUUUCACCUGUCUCCACUAAUCAAGGACACUUGGGUGUCCUCUCAAACAGCAGGUAGCCAGAACAGUGUCUGCCUGGGUUAUUUUCCAGGACCUUGGAGCCUCAGCUAAGCUGGUUAAGGCUGGAUAGAACCACCCACCCUCCACCUCCGCCAGCGUUGAGUGGGUGCCCGCUCCCACAGCCUCCUUGUAGCUUCAUUAUACCUGUGCACAGCAGGAUUCCUGCCCCUCUUUCCAGUCUCCUCUCCCCAUCCCUCACCAGUCUGCCUCUUUGUCAUCCUGUGCAUACACUGAGCCCCUCCCUUUCUGGGAGUCAGGUUCAAGAUCUGUUUUCCCAUCUCCUCUCUUGGCUGGAAUAAACCCUUUCUUUGUCCCCAAACUUGGCAUCUCAGCGUUUGGCUCUCUGUGCAAUGUGGCAGGACGAAGCUGACUGGGUAACACGUUUGUGGAGCCAGGUAGGAGGGGAAGUACAGGUGGACUUUAUGCUGGUUGGCCCUUGGCUGGUACUGAGAGCCCGAGGACGGGUCCAAGCAGCUGCCAGGUCCAUUUGUUCCAGGACCUCCCCCGAAUCUCCCCUGCCAGGUGCCACCGACGUUUCAUUUCACAGCAGCUGGUUUGGAAGAUGUCUUGUGGGUGAGUAACAGCAUCAGAGAAAUCCAGCCGUGCUUAAACCAUCUGAUAAUCCUGACCAGGUCAUGGGCUGGGGGCCCGUCUACCCGGAAGGAUUCUGGCAGACAGUACAAAAGGUCACAGCUGCUGAGGUACCCUCUACCUGCGUUGGAGGCCAGGGGUUUUUGGUUGCUGAUCUUGUUUGUUUGGGUCUUGUCUCUGUCCAUCUUCAUCUGAUUGUUUCAGUUGUCCAGAACUGCCUGUUGGGGGGACUUCCCUGAUGACUCAGUGGUAAAGAAUCUGCCUGCCAAUGCAGGGGACACAGGUUCGAGCCCUGGCCUGGGAGGAUCCCACAUGCCGUGGAGCAAUUAAGCCUGAGCACCCCAGAGCCUGCGCCCCCCAACUGGAGAUGUCACCGCAAUGAGAAGCCCGUGAACCACAACAUACAGCAGUUCCCGCUCUCUGCAACUAGAGAAAGCCCAUGCAUGCACCAAUGAAGACCCAGCCCAGCCAAAAAUAAAUCGCAGAAUGUGCUGGAUAAAACUCACAAGGAGGCAGUUAUGUAGCCCUGGCAAGCUGGCGUGGGAGGCUGUGAGCCUGGCUAUGUCAACAACGGAUGCUAAGUGGGACAUGAAUGCUGGGGAUAGGCCAAAACUUGAGAUUGAUUCAGAGGGAUGAGCAAAUGAAGAAGCUUUAAAAGUUCAAGAGAUAAACGAAACCCAAAAGAGAGUCUUUCAGAAUUUCUAGCAAGGGUCUUCAAAGCUUAGAGGCAUUAUACAGAUACAGACCCUGAGGCCCCAGAGAAUCUAAAGGUGGUUAGUAAGACUUAUUGGUCAGAGUGCCCCCUCCCACUUCUACCACACACAAAAAAUGGAAGGUGCUCUUGGAAUGCCUAUGUCUUAACCUGUUGAGAUUGCCUGCAGUUUCUAAUGGCAGGGCAGGCUCAGAAGGGAACAAGAGAAUGAAACAGGCCACUCUGUCUUCACAGAGGAAGAGCUGGACCAAGGUGAAGACCCUACAAGGGACUCAGCAAAAGGCAGAAGUUCCCCAGGAGACUCUUAGAGGAGACAAUGAACCUCUACCCUGGAAUCUUAGAAGGGUGAACAUCUAGAAGAUCAGCGCCAGCCUUGCUGGACCGGGCCUUCUGAGGAACAUGAUGGCAAAGAGACCCUGCUGCAG